GUGGUCUAGUGGUUGGAGCGUCCGCCUCGGAUGCGGUAGGUCGUGGGUUCGAACCCGACAGUCA